rnacentral:lncRNA from 1 species
CUUAAGGAAGUCAGGCAGGCCAUUGUGACUUCCACCUCUAGGGAAAUGUAUGACACGGCAGAGCAGAAGUUCUACUUCAGCGAGAUCAGGGCUGGCAAGAAACUGGGCUUCACAGGCCUUUGUAAGAGAUGUUCCCGGUAGGCUGUAGGAGCUCUGUGGAGAGCGAGUUGUUUCUUAGCUUCCCCAAGAGCUGGAAGCAAGACGAAUUGUGGCCUGCCUCCUGUUGAGGAAUCAAGACAGGAUUUUGUGCCUUGCACCUCUAAUGCAAUGUAGGACACAGCAGAGCAGAAGUUCUACUUCAGCAAUAUCAUGGCUUGGAAGUAACUGUGUUUCACAUGCCUUUGUAAGAGAUGUUCCCAGUGGCCGUAAGAUCCGUGUGGAGAGCGAGUUGUUUCUUAGCUUCCCAAAGAGCUGGAAGGAAAACCGUUUGUGGCUUGUCUCCUUUGUAGGCAAUGACUCAGUGCUUUGUGACUUCCACCUCUAGAGCAACGUAGAACACGGCUUAGAGCAGACUUACCAAGUAGGCGACAUCAUGGCUGGAAACAAACUCUGUUUCUGGUCUUUGACUUAGAGGUUCCCGGUAGGCUGUAAGAGCCCAGUGGAAAGUGAAAUCUUUCCCACCUUGCGAAAGAGCUGGAAGCAAGAUGGUCUGUGGCC